UACGAAGGGGGCUAGCGUUGUUCGGAAUUACUGGGCGUAAAGCGCACGCAGGCGGUCUGCUAAGUUUGGAGUGACAGUUGGUGGCUUAACUGCCAAAGUGCUUCGAAAACUGACAGACUUGAGGGCUUCAGAGGGACACGGAAUUCCGGGUGGAGUGGUGAAAUGCGUAGAGAUCCGGAGGAACACCAAAGGCGAAGGCAGUGUCCUGGGGAGUACCUGACGCUCAGGUGCGAAAGCCAGGGGAGCGAACGGG
rnacentral:rRNA from 1 species